CACGUAGGGUGCGAGCGUUGUCCGGAAUUAUUGGGCGUAAAGAGCUCGUAGGCGGUUUGUCGCGUCUGCUGUGAAAACUCGGGGCUUAACCCCGGGCCUGCAGUGGGUACGGGCAGACUAGAGUGCGGUAGGGGAGACUGGAAUUCCUGGUGUAGCGGUGAAAUGCGUAGAUAUCGAGAGGAACACCUGCGGCGAAGGCGGGUUGCUGGGCUGAUACUGACGCUGAGGCGCGAAAGCCAGGGGAGCAAACGGG
rnacentral:rRNA from 1 species